AACGAGAAACACCUGGGGAAACAAUCAAGGAACGAGAAACACCUGGGGAAACAAUCAGGGAGAACCAAUCAUGAAAUAAAACUACAAAGGACUACAAAACUAACACAGGAAACAGGAACGGGGAACUAAACAAGAAUUUCAACAUAAAAGUCUAGACAAAAACAGGGAAUACAUGACAAUCAAAUUCAAAGAAUCUGCAACCAAGUACUAAAUAUGAUCAUUUUAUUUAGGUUUAUAGGAACUUGUGCAAUACAUUUUGGUCCUCUGAAAUUGGCAGUCUGUCAAAUAGCUAUAAUUACUACAUGGUUCACUUGAUACAUCUGAAAAUACCCAAGAGUUUGCACUUGAAGUCCAUAGUCAUUAUUUAAUUUCAGAUUCAAUGUACUGGACAGAAUUCAUGCCAGUGUCCAAAUAUGUAUGGACCUAACUGUAGGUGUGUACUCUCACUUUUAUAAUCUCUACCUCAUUAAAAUCUUUGGAAAACAUUGGCUUUCGAUGUGUAUUUAAUCUAUGUCCUUCAAUGUAUUAACUUUAACAUAGUUUCAUCUUUCUUUACUACUCCCAGUUCUCUCCAGCAGCAACAGGCUCGACUCGACCUGAAACCCGGUGUCUGCUACCAGUGGUGGAAUGAGGUCGAAUGAGUUUCUAUGAAGAUUGCCCGGCAUGAAGCAGAGCCCAAGGGGUAGUGUUGGGGAGUAACGGAAUACAUCACACAUGAUGCGAAGUCGAUGCAGUCAGGAGAAGCGGUUGAUCCAUGGUCACUGUGGCAAUGACUGAAGCCGAGGAGGGUGGCACCUUGAAAGCAAGUGGAGGUGCAAAAAUAACAGGGGGUAUGGUGAUUUAUCCUAUCAGGUGCAUGUGAGCUCCAUGGGGACAGUGUCAUUGACCUUAGCCGAGGUGGGUGGCACCUCUCGGCAUGAAUCAGAGACCAAGGGGCCUGGAAGAAUGAGCAGAACUGGUAAAAUAACUAAGUCGAUGCAGUCGGGAGGAGUGGUUGAUCCAUGGUCACCGUUGCAGUGACUUUCUAUGAAGAUUGCCCAUUCAAGGACAAACUUAUCUACCCUUUCCCUAGAUAUAUUAUAUAAUAAAAUGUUUUGUUGA